rnacentral:rRNA from 1 species
UUGAGAACCUGGACAAUGGGCGAAAGCCUGAUCCAGCCAUGCCGCGUGUGUGAAGAAGGUCUUCGGAUUGUAAAGCACUUUAAGUUGGGAGGAAGGGCAUUAACCUAAUACGUUGGUGUCUUGACGUUACCGACAGAAUAAGCACCGGCUAACUCUGUGCCAGCAGCCGCGGUAAUAA